UUGUUGGAGAGUUUGAUCCUGGCUCAGGACGAACGCUGGCGGCGUGCUUAACACAUGCAAGUCGAACGAUGAUCCGGUUUCGGCCGGGGAUUAGUGGCGAACGGGUGAGUAACACGUGGGCAAUCUGCCCUGUACUUUGGGAUAAGCCUGGGAAACUGGGUCUAAUACCGGAUAUGACUGGGCCUCGCAUGGGGUUUGGUGGAAAGCUCCGGCGGUACAGGAUGAGCCCGCGGCCUAUCAGCUUGUUGGUGGGGUAAUGGCCUACCAAGGCGACGACGGGUAGCCGGCCUGAGAGGGUGACCGGCC
rnacentral:rRNA from 1 species